CCCUUAGAUGUUCUGGGCUGCACACGUGCUACACUGGCAGGUUCAGCGAGCUUCAUGCCCUGAUCUGAAAGGAAUGGGAAAUCUUUUCAAAACCUGCCGUGCUUGGGAUAGAUGUUUGCAAUUAUUCAUCUUCAACGAGGAUUGGCUUGUAAGCGCACGUCAUCAGCGUGCAUUGAAUACGACCCUGUAUUCUGUACACACCGCCCGUCGCUCCUACCGAUUGAAGUUUUCGGUGAGUUGACAGGAGGAUUUUUUUGAAACUGGUUCGCCAGUGGAUUUUAGAUCCAAAUGCCAACGAAUCGAUGGCUUUAGAGGAAGGAGAAGUCGUAACA
rnacentral:rRNA from 1 species